rnacentral:rRNA from 1 species
GAUGAACGCUGACAGAAUGCUUAACACAUGCAAGUCGACUGGAAUUCUUCUUCGGAAGUUAGUACGGUGGCGGACGGGUGAGUAACGCGUAAAGAAUUUGCCCUUCAGAUUGGGACAACUAACCGAAAGGUUAGCUGAUACCGGAUAUUAUGAGACCUUGGCAUCAAGGACUUAUGAAAGCUAUAUGCGCUGAAGGAGAACUUUGCGUCCCAUUAGGUAGUUGGUAGGGUAAUGGCCUACCAAGCCGACGAUGGGUAGCCGGCCUGAGAGGGUGAACGGCCACAAGGGGACUGAGACACGGCCCUUACUCCUACGGGAGGCAGCAGUGGGGAAUAUUGGACAAUGGACCAAAAGUCUGAUCCAGCAAUUCUGUGUGCACGAUGAAGGUCUUCGGAUUGUAAAGUGCUUUCAGGUGGGAAGAAGAAAGUGACGGUACCACCAGAAGAAGCGACGGCUAAAUACGUGCCAGCAGCCGCUGUAAU